CCAACAGAGCAUAAAGAAGCCGCCGCUCACCCUCCCUCCACCUUCCAUCUCCCACUUCUCCGCCCCCCUCGCCCCCUCCGCCGUUGACCUCGUCGGCCACCGCCGCCGACGAGGCCUCCUAUCGCCCAAGACCUAUCCCCUAGGCACCGGCCCCUUCAUCAAUCUGAAGGCCCCCUCCUCGCCCCGGCGAGCCGUGUCAGCAUCCGACUCCGCCGAUCCUUCCGAACCCUAGAUCCCCUGGGCACCCGAUCGCGCGCCCCUUCCGGAGGGGCGCCGUCCCGAUCGCCCCGGAGGAAAUGCUCCGCCGCGCCCCGUGAGAUCCGGCCGCCAAGACUCGACCUUUUCGGCCCGCGAGGCGGCGUGACGCCGCGCGAUGGCGAUCCGCAUGACCGUCUCCUACUCCGGCUACGUGGCGCAGAGCCUAGCCUCCACCUUCGGCCUGCGCUGCACCACCGCCGCCGCCGCCGGCUCCGGGGCCGCGCCCGGCGCCGGCUGCCGCGUCCUCCAGGACGCGCUCUCCCGCCCCUUCUGCCUCUUCGCCUCCUCGCGCCGCGUCGAGCAGCACAAUGACGCCGAGGACCACAACCACCCCAAGCCCAAGCCCAGGCCCAAGCCUCUCCCACCCGCCGCCGCCGGGAGCAGCAGCCCCACCAAGGCUCUCCCCGCAGCCGCCGGAGGCAGGCAGCUGACCAAACUCGUCCCCGCCGAUGGGGGCAGCUACUCGCUGUUCGUCUCGCCGUCUGGUUCGACGAAGGCGGAUGACCCGCCGGCAUCGCUGGCGGUGGGUUUGCUGUCGGUGCUGGCAUCUGGGGUCGGCUCAGGCCCUGGCAUCGCCGGCGUGUCCUCGCUGUCGGCGUCGCCGUCGAUAUCGUCCGGGCUGAACCCCGCCACGCUGCUCCCGUUCUUGCAGGCCACAAAGUGGCUUCCUUGUAGUGAUAUCAUCACCGGUGCGUCGUCCCGCAGGUCGGUACGCCCUGCCGAUGUGUCGACCGCACCAUCCACACAUGUGCCUUCGCGUCGCGCUUCGCCUUCGUCUGUGCCCUCCCCUGCGGUGGCUGCCCCUUCGAAGGCGGGCAUGAUGGCCUUGCUUGGUAGCAGCGGUGCCGCGGCUGCCCCCGCCAAGAUGGGCGUCAAGGCAUUGUUUGGAAGCAGCGGUGCGGUGGCUGCCCCUUCCAAGGUGGGCAGCGUAGUAGCGCCGUUAGUUGGUAGUAGUGCAGUUGCUUCUGGUGCUGCUGGGGUGGUGAGGCAGAGCAGUGCUGCUCUUGGUGGUGCUGCUGGCGUGGUGAGGCAGAGCAGCGCUGCUCUUGGUGCUGCUGCAGGGGCGAGCAAGAGAACUAGCUGGCUGUCAAGGUGGGUGAACUCCUGCUCGGAUGAUGCAAAGACCGUCCUUGCUGCUGUGACUGUACCGCUGCUCCAUAAAUCCUCCCUAGCGGAGCCGAGGUCCAUCCCUUCGAAGUCGAUGUAUCCAACAUUUGAUGUUGGUGACCGGAUUCUAGCCGAGAGGGUUUCAUAUAUUUUCCGGGAGCCUCAAGUUUUGGACAUUGUGAUCUUCCGUGCACCUCUGGUCCUUCAGGCAUUGGGCUACAGCUCAAGUGAUGUGUUCAUCAAGAGAGUUGUGGCAAAGGGCGGGGACAUCGUUGAAGUAAGCUUUUAUCCGAAGGGUGACUGAUGGUCAAUUAUUAGUUAACGGAGUCGUCCAGGAUGAGGACUUUGUGCUCGAGCCACCUGAUUAUGAAAUGGACCCAGUGAGUGUGCCUGAAGGCUACGUGUUUGUGCUAGGUGACAACAGAAACAACAGCUUCGAUUCCCAUAACUGGGGACCGCUACCCGUGAAGAACAUUCUUGGGAGAUCUGUGCUUCGAUACUGGCCACCGUCGAAAAUAACAGAUACAAUCUACGACCACAUUGACCAUGAUGUGGUUCAUGGCAUGGCAGGCAUCUCCUGAGAUGCACGGUUGGUUCGGCAAUGCUAAACCAACCCAUUUUUUUGGCAGAGAAUCACUGAUGACCUCUGCUGCAUUUUUUUUCUCCUCUAGCUAUUUAUUUGAUUGAUGUCGCCUUGCACGUAAUGCCUGGCUGACUCUCAGUUUUCCCCCUGCCCUACCAGCAGAUGCUUGUUUAGAGGCAACAAUUCUUGUACUGUAACCAAAGGUCUGGCUCGCCUGUUGAAUGAGCAUCCAUGGCAGCGCAUGGAAAUUUUGUUAUGUUUGGCACAAGGAGAGUUGGUUGAUCUGUUUCAGAUCAUAAUGUAUAAGAAGCAGAAAGCAUGCCAUAUUGUUCA